rnacentral:rRNA from 1 species
CAUGCGAGUCUAAGGGGUACUUGUACCCCUGGCAUAAUGCUCAGUAACACGUGGAUAACCUAUCCUUAGGUGGGGCAUAAACCCGGGAAACUGGGGCUAAUUCCCUAUAGAUACAGAAGGCUGGAAUGCCUCUGUAUUCAAAGCUCCGGCGCCUAAGGAUGAGUCUGCGACCUAUCAGGUAGUAGUCAGGGUCACGACCUGACUAGCCAACGACGGGUACGGGGUGUGAGAGCACUUGCCCGGAGAUGGUUUCUGAGACACGAAACCAGGCCCUACGGGGCGCAGCAGGCGCGAAAACUUCGCAAUGCGGGAAACCGUGACGAGGGAACUCCAAGUGUCUAUGCAAUGCAUAGACUGUUUUUCAGCCUAAAUAGCUGUUAGAGUAAGGGGUGGGUAAGACCGGUGCCAGCCGCCGCGGUAACACCGGCACCCCGAGUGGUAGCCACUAUUAUUGGGCCUAAAGCGUUCGUAGCCGGUUUAGUAAAUUCUUGGGUAAAUCGUACAGCUUAACUGUGCGGAUUCCGGGGACACUACUAGACUUGAGACCGGGAGAGAUUAGAGGUACUUGCAGGGGAGCGGUGAAAUGUUGUAAUCCUGCAGGGACCACCAGUGGCGAAGGCGUCUAAUCAUAACGGCUCUGACGG